AAAUUGAAGAGUUUGAUCAUGGCUCAGAUUGAACGCUGGCGGCAGGCCUAACACAUGCAAGUCGAACGGUAACAGGAAACAGCUUGCUGUUUCGCUGACGAGUGGCGGACGGGUGAGUAAUGUCUGGGAAACUGCCUGAUGGAGGGGGAUAACUACUGGAAACGGUAGCUAAUACCGCAUAACGUCGCAAGACCAAAGAGGGGGACCUUCGGGCCUCUUGCCAUCGGAUGUGCCCAGAUGGGAUUAGCUUGUUGGUGGGGUAACGGCUCACCAAGGCGACGAUCCCUAGCUGGUCUGAGAGGAUGACCAGCCACACUGGAACUGAGACACGGUCCAGACUCCUACGGGAGGCAGCAGUGGGGAAUAUUGCACAAUGGGCGCAAGCCUGAUGCAGCCAUGCCGCGUGUAUGAAGAAGGCCUUCGGGUUGUAAAGUACUUUCAGCGGGGAGGAAGGGAGUAAAGUUAAUACCUUUGCUCAUUGACGUUA
rnacentral:rRNA from 1 species